rnacentral:rRNA from 1 species
GUCUAUGGCCAUGCUACCCUGAACAAGCCCGAUCCCGUCUCAUCUCAGAAGCUAAGCAGGGUCGGGCCUGGUUAGUACUUGGAUGGGAGACCACCUAGGAAGACCAGGUGCUGUAGGCG